rnacentral:tRNA from 1 species
AGUAAGGUAAGCUAAGUUCAAGCUCUUGGGCUCAUGACCCAGAAAUGUGGGUUAAAAUCCCUCCUUUACUA